rnacentral:rRNA from 1 species
AUGCACGCUGGCGGCGUGCCUAAUACAUGCAAGUCGAGCGAACAGACGAGGAGCUUGCUCCUCUGACGUUAGCGGCGGACGGGUGAGUAACACGUGGAUAACCUACCUAUAAGACUGGGAUAACUUCGGGAAACCGGAGCUAAUACCGGAUAAUAUAUUGAACCGCAUGGUUCAAUAGUGAAAGACGGUUUUGCUGUCACUUAUAGAUGGAUCCGCGCCGCAUUAGCUAGUUGGUAAGGUAACGGCUUACCAAGGCGACGAUGCGUAGCCGACCUGAGAGGGUGAUCGGCCACACUGGAACUGAGACACGGUCCAGACUCCUACGGGAGGCAGCAGUAGGGAAUCUUCCGCAGUGGGCGAAAGCCUGACGGAGCAACGCCGCGUGAGUGAUGAAGGUCUUCGGAUCGUAAAACUCUGUUAUUAGGGAAGAACAAAUGUGUAAGUAACUAUGCACGUCUUGACGGUACCUAAUCAGAAAGCCACGGCUAACUACGUG